rnacentral:misc_RNA from 1 species
GAUGAAGAACGUAGCGAAAUGCGAUACUUGGUGUGAAUUGCAGAAUCCCGUGAACCAUCGAGUCUUUGAACGCAAGUUGCGCCCGAAGCCAUUAGGCCGAGGGCACGCCUGCCUGGGCGUCACACGUCGUUGCCCCCCAUCUACUCCUUCGGGAUUGCGGGGGGCGGAUGAUGGCCUCCCGUGCGCCUCGUCGCGCGGUUGGCAUAAAUGCCAAGUCCUCGGCGACGCACGCCACGACAAUCGGUGGUUGCGAAACCUCGGUUGCCCGUCGUGUGCGGUCGUCGCGCAUCGAGGGCUCGAAAAAAUGCUCGGCUCCGGCUGGGCUUUCAACGCGACCCCAGGUCAGGCGGGGUUACCCGCUGAAUUUAAGCAUAUCAAUAAGCGGAGGA